rnacentral:rRNA from 1 species
AUGCAUGUUUGCACUAAUGAACUGCUAUUAGUUUUCAAGUUGGACUUCAGUACUUGUGUAAAAUUUUGCAUAGUUUACUGCCGAAAUCUUCACCACAAAAGAAACACAUAUCAUUACCACUUGCAUAAUUUAGCAAAAAUGAAAAUUUUGCAUCUACUGUUUGUUUUUGCAGAAUGUACUUGUAUUUCUUAUGUACUUGAACUAUUCAAGGUAUUGAAAAUUGCCACUGUCAUAGGCAUCUUCAUUUCACACAAAGAACAGCAUAAAUUUCACUCAUUUUGGCAAUAUGGCAAAAAAAAAUCACAUAGGAGCACAUCACAUGAGAGAGAGAGAGAGAGAGAAAGCAGAGAAGAGCAGCAGCCUACGCAUGUUUUGUGGAGGACUCCUGCCCAUGAGUCGCGCUGA